rnacentral:sRNA from 1 species
AUCACGCCGAAGACAGCAGGUGCCGCAAGGCAUAAGGAGAAAACGCCUGCCGAGGAAGUACAUUCUUUUUAGAAGAAUCACAUUGCCUCCCUGUCUUUGCGCAGGGAGGUUUUUUAG